UACGUAGGGUGCAAGCGUUGUCCGGAAUUAUUGGGCGUAAAGGGCUCGUAGGCGGCCAACUAAGUCAGACGUGAAAUCCCUCGGCUUAACCGGGGAACUGCGUCUGAUACUGGAUGGCUUGAGUUUGGGAGAGGGAUGCGGAAUUCCAGGUGUAGCGGUGAAGUGCGUAGAUAUCUGGAGGAACACCGGUGGCGAAGGCGGCAUCCUGGACCAACACUGACGCUGAGGAGCGAAAGCCAGGGGAGCAAACGGG
rnacentral:rRNA from 1 species